rnacentral:rRNA from 1 species
CCUANGGGAGGCAGCAGUGGGGAAUAUUGGACAAUGGGGGCAACCCUGAUCCAGCAAUGCCGCGUGAGUGAUGAAGGCCUUAGGGUUGUAAAGCUCUUUCGACGGGGACGAUGAUGACGGUACCCGUAGAAGAAGCCCCGGCUAACUUCGUGCCAGCAGCCGCGGUAAUACGAAGGGGGCUAGCGUUGUUCGGAAUUACUGGGCGUAAAGGGCGCGUAGGCGGUCUUGUAAGUCAGAUGUGAAAGCCCCGGGCUCAACCCGGGAAUAGCAUUUGAUACUGCGAGGCUUGAGUCCGGGAGAGGAUGGCGGAAUUCCCAGUGUAGAGGUGAAAUUCGUAGAUAUUGGGAAGAACACCGGUGGCGAAGGCGGCCAUCUGGACCGGUACUGACGCUGAGGCGCGAAAGCGUGGGGAGCAAACAGGAUUAGAUACCCGUNUANUC